AGCAGUCGCCGCGGUAAUACGUAUGUCACAAGCGUUAUCCGGAUUUAUUGGGCGUAAAGCGCGUCUAGGUGGCUAUGUAAGUCUGAUGUGAAAAUGCAGGGCUCAACUCUGUAUUGCGUUGGAAACUGUGUAACUAGAGUACUGGAGAGGUAAGCGGAACUACAAGUGUAGAGGUGAAAUUCGUAGAUAUUUGUAGGAAUGCCGAUGGGGAAGCCAGCUUACUGGACAGAUACUGACGCUAAAGCGCGAAAGCGUGGGUAGCAAACGGGAUUAGAUACCCCCGUAGUCCCUGUCUCUUAUACA
rnacentral:rRNA from 1 species